AGGGUUUGAUUAUGGCUCAGAUUGAACGCUGGCGGUAGGCUUAACACAUGCAAGUCGUGCGAGAAAGUAUCUUCGGAUAUGAGUAGAGCGGCGGACGGGUGAGUAACGCGUAGGAAUCUACCUAGUAGAAGGGGAUAGCCCGAGGAAACUCGGAUUAAUACCGUAUACCUCCUUAGGGAGAAAGAGGGCCUCUCUUGAAGCUCUCGCUAUUAGAUGAGCCUGCGUAAGAUUAGCUUGUUGGUGAGGUAAUGGCUCACCAAGGCUACGAUCUUUAGCUGGUCUGAGAGGACGAUCAGCCACAUUGGGACUGAGACACGGCCCAGACUCCUACGGGAGGCAGCAGUGGGGAAUAUUGGACAAUGGGCGCAAGCCUGAUCCGGCCAUGCCGCGUGCAGGAAGACGGCCCUAUGGGUUGUAAACUGCUUUUAUACAGGAAGAAUUGUACCUACGUGUAGGUAUUUGACGGUACUGUACGAAUAAGGAUCGGCUAACUCCGUGCCAGCCGCCGCGGUAAUAC
rnacentral:rRNA from 1 species